GCAUUGAAAGCUGGCGUCUUCGGCGUCCGCAUUGUAAUCUCAAGAAGUGUUUUCCGCUUCGGACCAUGCCUAAGUCCCUUGGAAAAGGGCAUCAUAGAGGGUGAUAAUCCCGUACAUGGCAUGGAGCGCCCGAAGCUUUGUGAUACGCUUUCUAAGAGUCGAGUUGUUUGGGAAUGCAGCUCAAAAUGGGUGGUAAAUGCCAUCUAAGGCUAAAUAUUGGGGAGAGACCGAUAGCGAACAAGUACAGUGAUGGAAAGAUGAAAAGAACUUUGAAAAGAGAGUUAAACAGUACGUGAAAUUGCCAAAAGGGAAGGGUAGGAGGUCAGAGAUGCGGCCUGGGAUUCAGCCUUGCUUUUGCUUGGUGUUUUUCCCAGAUUGCAGGCCAACGUCGGUUUUGGGCACUGGAGAAGGGUAGGAGGAACGUGGCACCUCUCGGGGUGUGUUAUAGCCUCCUACUGGAUACAGCGACCGAGACCGAGGACAGCAGCGUACUCGCAAGAGCGGGCUCUUCGGGCACCUUUACGCUUAGGGCGUUGGCAUAAUGGCCCUCUACCAC
rnacentral:rRNA from 1 species